rnacentral:tRNA from 1 species
GGGCGAUUAGCUCAGCGGAAGAGCACUGCCCUUACAAGGCAGGGGUCGCAGGUUCGAGCCCUGCAUCGCCCA